rnacentral:rRNA from 1 species
GUCGACGCGAAAUCACCUUCGGGUGAGAGUAGAGUGGCGGACGGGUGAGUAACGCGUGGGAAUCUACCUAGUAGUGGGGGAUAACUCGGGGAAACUCGAGCUAAUACCGCAUACGCCCUACGGGGGAAAGGCUUCGGCCGCUAUUGGAUGAGCCCGCGUCAGAUUAGCUUGUUGGUAGGGUAAUGGCCUACCAAGGCGACGAUCUGUAGCUGGUCUGAGAGGACGAACAGCCACACUGGGACUGAGACACGGCCCAGACUCCUACGGGAGGCAGCAGUGGGGAAUAUUGGACAAUGGGCGAAAGCCUGAUCCAGCAAUGCCGCGUGUGUGAAGAAGGCCUGCGGGUUGUAAAGCACUUUCAGUUGGGAAGAUGAUGACGUUACCAACAGAAGAAGCACCGGCUAACUCCGUG